GAUGAACGCUGGCGGCGUGCUUAACACAUGCAAGUCGAACGGAAAGGCUCCUGCUUGCAGGGGUACUCGAGUGGCGAACGGGUGAGUAACACGUGGGUGAUCUGCCCUGCACUUCGGGAUAAGCUUGGGAAACUGGGUCUAAUACCGGAUAGGACCGCAUUUUGGAUGGUGUGGUGGAAAGUUUUUUCGGUGUGGGAUGAGCUCGCGGCCUAUCAGCUUGUUGGUGGGGUAAUGGCCUACCAAGGCGUCGACGGGUAGCCGGCCUGAGAGGGUGUACGGCCACAUUGGGACUGAGAUACGGCCCAGACUCCUACGGGAGGCAGCAGUGGGGAAUAUUGCACAAUGGGCGCAAGCCUGAUGCAGCGACGCCGCGUGGGGGAUGACGGCCUUCGGGUUGUAAACUCCUUUCGCUAAGGACGAAGAGUAAUUGACGGUACCUGGAGAAGAAGCACCGGCUAACUACGUG
rnacentral:rRNA from 1 species